rnacentral:rRNA from 1 species
GAUGAACGCUGGCGGUGUGCCUAAUACAUGCAAGUCGAGCGAACAGAUAAGGAGCUUGCUCCUUUGACGUUAGCGGCGGACGGGUGAGUAACACGUGGGUAACCUACCUAUAAGACUGGGAUAACUUCGGGAAACCGGAGCUAAUACCGGAUAACAUUUGGAACCGCAUGGUUCUAAAGUGAAAGAUGGUUUUGCUAUCACUUAUAGAUGGACCCGCGCCGUAUUAGCUAGUUGGUAAGGUAACGGCUUACCAAGGCGACGAUACGUAGCCGACCUGAGAGGGUGAUCGGCCACACUGGAACUGAGACACGGUCCAGACUCCUACGGGGGGCAGCAGUAGGGAAUCUUCCGCAAUGGGCGAAAGCCUGACGGAGCAACGCCGCGUGAGGGAUGAAGGGUUUCGGCUCGUAAAACUCUGUUAUUAGGGAAGAACAAAUGUGUAAGUAACUGUGCACGUCUUGACGGUACCUAAUCAGAAAGCCACGGCUAACUACGUG